rnacentral:rRNA from 1 species
AUUGAACGCUGGCGGCAGGCCUAACACAUGCAAGUCGAACGAGUGGCGGACGGGUGUGUAAUGUCUGGGAAACUGCCCGAUGGAGGGGGAUAACUCCAGGAAACGGUAGCUAAUACCGCAUAUCAUCGGAUGUGCCCCCAUGGGAGUAGCUCGUAGGUGGGGUAACGGCUCACCUAGGCGACGAGCCCUAGCUGGUCUGAGAGGAUGACCAGCCACACUGGAACUGAGACACGGUCCAGACUCCUACGGGAGGCAGCAGUGGGGAAUAUUGCACAAUGGGCGCAAGCCUGAUGCAGCCAUGCCGCGUGUAUGAAGAAGGCCUUCGGGUUGUAAAGUACUUUCAGCGGGGAGGCGUUACCCGCAGAAGAAGCACCGGCUAACUCCGUGCCAGCAGCCGCGGUAAUUC